ensembl:lncRNA
AGUCUCAUUGCCUACUGGCUCUUUGUUUUCUGAGGAUCAAAUUUCAUUGAUUCAAGCCUCCCUUCCUGCUUUUGGCGGCUCCUGUGAAUCAUGGCGGCUCCUGUGAACAUGUGAAUCAGGCAGUUCCAGAGAGUUCACAUCAAGAGAAACCAUCCUGUACUGAUCUUCCUCUUUGCUAGCAGAAUGCACUAAGCAGGAAAAUAAAUUGUUUUCCUUGGCCUGAGUAUAAGAACAGGGCUUUCUUCUCCCUGUUGUUGUGGAACUACAACACACCCAGCAAGAAUUUAAGUUGUAAAGGUGCUGAACCCCUCUGGCUCC